rnacentral:sRNA from 2 species
GGUCGUGGCUGGCCUAAGUCCUGCGCCACUCGCAGGACGCGGGGGACCCAGGCUCCUGGGGCGCACCGGCGGGACAACCGCCGGAGGACACUUCCGAGUCCUAGCCCGACAGCUAACCCCGGCGGCGUCAUACGGAAGGCGC